rnacentral:rRNA from 1 species
UGGGGAAUUUUGCGCAAUGGGGGAAACCCUGACGCAGCAACGCCGCGUGGAGGAUGAAGGUUUUCGGAUUGUAAACUCCUGUCAGUGGGGAAAAAGGCUUGCGACCUAAUACGUCGAGGAGCUUGAUUGUACCCGCAGAGGAAGCCCCGGCUAACUCUGUGCCAGCAGCCGCGGUAAUACAGAGGGGGCAAGCGUUAUUCGGAAUUAUUGGGCGUAAAGGGCGCGUAGGCGGCCGAUCAAGUGGAAGGUGAAAGCCCUCGGCUCAACCGAGGAACUGCCUUCCAAACUGACUGGCUUGAGUCCGGGAGAGGUGAGUGGAAUUCCCAGUGUAGCGGUGAAAUGCGUAGAUAUUGGGAGGAACACCGGUGGCGAAGGCGGCUCACUGGACCGGAACUGACGCUGAGGCGCGAAAGCGUGGGGAGCAAACGGGAUUAGAUACCCCGGUAGUCCACGCCGUAAACGAUGAGUGCUUGGUGUAGCGGGUAUCGACCCCUGCUGUGCCGAAGUUAACGCAUUAAGCACUCCGCCUGGGGAGUACGGUCGCAAGGCUG